rnacentral:rRNA from 1 species
GAUGAACGCUGACAGAAUGCUUAACACAUGCAAGUCAACUUGUGGCGGACUGGUGAGUAACGCGUAAAGAACUUGCCUCACUGUUAGGGACAACAUUUGGAAACGAAUGCUAAUACCUGAUACUGUGAGAGAGCUUUGCGUCCCAUUAGCUAGUUGGAGAGGUAACGGCUCAACAAGGCGAUGAUGGGUAGCCGGCCUGAGUGGGUGAUCGGCCACAAGGGGACUGAGACACGGCCCUUACUCCUACGGGAGGGAGCAGUGGGGAAGAGUGGACAAUGGACCAAAGUGUGAUACAGCAAUUCUGGGUGCACGAUGAAGUUUUCGGAAUGUAAAGUGCUUUCAGUUGGGAAGCGGGACCAAAAGAAGAAGUGACGGCUAAAUACGUGCCAGCAGCCGCGGUAAUAG